rnacentral:tRNA from 1 species
GGGUCUGUAGCUCAGGUGGUUAGAGUGCUUCCCUGAUAAGGAAGAGGUCGCAGGUUCAAGUCCUGCCAGACCCA